GUCGGGAUAGCUCAGUUGGUAGAGCAGAGGACUGAAAAUCCUCGUGACACCAGUUCAAAUCUGGUUCCUGGCACCA
rnacentral:tRNA from 1 species